GCGGGAUUCGUAUAGUGGCUAUUAUAUCUGCCUUCCAAGCAGAGGACGCCAGUUCGAUUCUGGUAUCCCGCU
rnacentral:tRNA from 1 species